GCCUUCGUGGUGUAAUGGUCAGCACACUGAGCCGGUAUUUCAGAGGUCCGCGGUUCGAUUCCCGGCGAAGGGG
rfam:Stegodyphus mimosarum contig46148, whole genome shotgun sequence.